GACGAAGGAUGCAAGCGUUAUCCGGAUUCAUUGGGUUUAAAGGGAGCGUAGGCGGCCUUGUAAGUCAGUGGUGAAAUCUCUCGGCUUAACCGAGAAAUUGCCAUUGAUACUGCAGGGCUUGAGUACAGUUGCCGUUGGCGGAAUAUGACAUGUAGCGGUGAAAUGCUUAGAGAUGACAUAGAACACCUAUUGCGAAGGCAGCUAACUACGCGAAUAUUGACGCUGAGGCACGAAAGCGUGGGGAUCAAACAGG
rnacentral:rRNA from 1 species